rnacentral:misc_RNA from 1 species
AUUGGCUUGUGUUGGCGCGUUGGAUCCCUGCCUAAGCAGCGACAACGUCCCAUGCAAUCCUCGUCGGUUUUUGGUUCGAGCAUGUCUCGUCCGUUGUUGGUUUCUUGUGUUGAAUACCUACUGGGAAGGUAUUUCUUGGUUGCGAAUGGAAAAACUCCACCUAGUGUUGUAGUACCCCUUGGGGAUGCGGCGUUGGGUGGAACCGAAGGCACGCUUCGUGUCCCACAUCUCUUGCGCAGCCUUGUGCUCGAGUUGAUGGCCCAUGUUGUCGUGCGCGAUGUCUCGGGUAUGGAACAUUGUGCGGGCACGAGGCCUCCGGCCAGUGUCUUGUCCGAACUAUAAGCGUUCUACGCUUUGUGGGAAUGACUGUCGUUGGCGUGUUGAUCGGGUCUUUGUGACCUGGCUCAUGCGCCAGCGCUGUAUGUCGGGAA